GGCGGAUCUUGCGUUCUCAACGGCGGCGGCGGAGCCCUCGUUCUCAACGGCGGCGGAGCCUUCGUCCUCAAAAAAUGGUUGUGAGGGGAGCCCGUGGGCAUACUGAGAUGGAGCCCCCAGAUUCAACUUCGAAUAGAGGGGAUGCUGCCGCUCGGACCUUCGAAUUGACGGUCAAUUUCUUUCCAUCAAAGGCAAAAUUAGUUGAUGGUAGCAUUCAGAACAUUGAGAGAGACACAAUUGUUAAAUGGGAGGUUGAGUUUACAGAGAUUGAUCCACAAGUUCUACAGAACA